ACAUGCCUACAACAUAGUGUUAAUGCACGAGAUCCCAUUAGAACUCCACAGUUAAGCAUGCUCAGGAUAGAGUAGUACUGGGAUGGGUGACCGCCCGAGAAGUCCUAUUGUUUUACAUGCC
rnacentral:rRNA from 1 species